ensembl:snRNA U4 U4 spliceosomal RNA
AGCUUUGCGCAGUGGCAGUAUCGGAACCAAAGAGGUUUAUCCGAGGCACGAUUAUUGCUAAUUGAAAGAAUGAAGGUGAGUGAGGGGCACCUGGGUGACUCAGUGGGUUAAGCGUCUAAUUCUUGAUUUCAGCUCAGGUCA